CCUUUUAUUUAUAAAUUAAAAUUUGUGAGCAUUUUUUAUAUUUAGUCUAAUUACUAAUUGAUAUUUAAUAAGUAGGCAUGAAUGAAUUUUCUCACUGAACAUUGGUUAUCAACGUUAGCUACUGUAAUGAAUGGUACGAUUGAGUUGAACGAGACUGGUGAAUAAAUCUCUCUAAGCUCAUCCAUGGGUUGAUCGAUGAAACAGUUAUGCAAACAUAUCUUUGAUAACCCGUUUAAAACUUGGAAGGAUAAAUUGCAAAAUAGAAUAGAAAACUGCGUUAAUAUACUUGCUGAUUUUUACAUAAGAUGAGAUUUUUACUGUGUUGGUGGAUAUUUUCAUGGAUAUUCGACAUUGUUGUUUAAUAAGUAUUCAAUAUUACAAAAGUUGAGGAACGUUUAUAAAUUUUAUUGAUGGUGUUCAUAUCAUUAUUACAGUAUAUUUCCAUAGUUUAUUUAAUAAAAGAUAAAUUUGAAUUAAGAUAUCAAAUCAUAAAGAACAAGAAUCUAUUAAUAUUAAAGAAAAUUCUGAUGAUUUAAUGACAAAAAAAAAAAAUUUAUUGCUUUAACCCGCGAUUGUUCAAUGAAGACUAUCAACUUUUGCUCUUAUUCUGCCAGCAGUCUUAAAGACAUAGCGGAUUCAUAUUAAACGUAAUUUCAAAAUUAGUGGGCUGUGUAAUUUUGAUAAUUAUAAUUAUAAACAAUUAAUAACUUUUUAAUCAUUUUUUAGGACAGAGCAUUAGACCUUAAUUAUGCGUUUGGUUCAAACAUGUACUCUGAAUCAUCCCGAAAGUGAUAUUAAAGUAUGGAGAUAAAUAGACAAUUAGUUUUUCUUUGUUUAAUCUACUUAAACAUCUGUUUGAUGAUUUAGCUGAAACAGAUCAACUACUGUGUAAAAAUCAAGACGAUAUUUAAAACAAUGAGACAGGUGCUGGCUUGUUGACAACUUGGAUAUUGAGUGUCGUUAAUUCAAAACAAUUUUUAUUUAACUAUAUAAGACUGACAGGAAUAUACAAUAAAAUGCAAUUUCAAAUAUUCUAAUUUAUAGUAUUUUAUUAUAGGUUUCAAAUUAGUAGAAAAUUAGGAGAUUUACCGAAAAUAGGAGAAAAAUAACCAAGCGAUUGAACUCCAUAAGAAAAAAAAUUUCAGUCUAACAAACUCAGCAUCUUGCGAACAAAACGAAGAUUACUUAAAAAAAAAGUAUUUCAUCUGAAAAUUAAUUUCAUAUCAAUGUAUUAUAGAUUUAAUUUACUACAGGGGAUGCUACGAAUAAGCUUAACAAGAGUAUUUUAAUAAAUUGAUUAAAUAUGAAAGAAUCAAUUGCAAAAUAAAAAAUUGUCCAUCAAAGUAUUUUUUAGCUUUGUCAUUUAGACGCAUUUACAAAGAGGACAAGUACUUUUAUUAAAUAAAUAAUUAAAUGAUCACUGUCUAACCGAAACGAGAGUAAUAACAGGAUAAAGAAUUUCGUAUGCCUAACCCUAUAAAGAAAAAAUGAUUAGUUCGAGAUAAAAAAACACCGUUAUCUUAGAAUUAUGUAAAUGUAAAUUAAAAAAAUGAACUUUUUUUAAUUAAAAUGAAGUUUUAUGAAACCUUUUGAUUAUUUACUUUUAUUAAAAUUACAAAGUUAUUUUUUUUAAUUAAAAGACAAUAUUGAAACUACAAUUAAAAUGUCCAAGAAUGUCAAAUGUAUACACUUUUACUAGAAAAAAAUUUCUUAUUCUACAUAGGUAUGUUUAAUGUCCAUUUUUCAUAACAAAAUUAUGUACAGUGUUUAAUCUCCAUAAUUUUUUAGUGGUUGAUUAAUUUUUAGAAAGAAAUUUCUUUCAUCAUAAUUAACAAUUUUCAAUGAAAAAAAUUACAAAACACGAUACAUAAAAAAAAAUCUGCACAUUUUUUGAGGUUAACUAAUAGUUUAUCAACAAUCAUAUAUACUUAUAUACAUUUUUAACAGAAUUAUAAACAGGCCUAUCAUUUUAGCAAAGAAACAAAUUAAAAACAGUUGUAUGAUAUACACACCCACACACAUAUGUACAUAUAAGUUAAAUUCAUAUGUAAUUAAAGCAAUUACUCUUUUUGUUUACUCUACAAACAGCUUUAUGAGUUAAGUGCAUAUAUUGGACGUCAUGCAAGUAAAUGGACUAUAUAGACAUUAGAUGUUUUUCGAUGAUUAUUAAUAAGUACAUUAUUUAUUAAUAAUGAUUCUUUUACUUUAAUCAUUUUCCUUUAAUCAUAAAACCGUCAACCAUUUAGCAUUUCAAAAAGUUUGUUAAAGAAGCUUUAAUUUCAUUCUUGUUUAUUUUAGAAACAAUGAAGAUAAUCCUUGAAAAUGAUGGAAAGUAAUUUUUGGUUAACGCCAGAAAAAUAAUCUAGAAAAAUUACUUUAAUUUUCUAAUAAUUAAGAUAUAUGAACAAAAGAGUUCUGUAUUUUUCAUAACGGUAAAAAGGUGGAUUGUAUCCACUAAUUAACAUAAUUAAUAAAAUGUUGACUUAUACUUAAUUCAUAUUUAUUGAAAUAACAUUAUUGACUUAGUGAGUGCACCGAGCUCUCCGGUUACCUGACAUGAAAAUUAACUUAGCUUAAAUUGUGGCCAAGAAAAAUUAUAAUAAAAAACUGAAAUGUA
rnacentral:lncRNA from 1 species